AUUGAACGCUGGCGGCAUGCCUUACACAUGCAAGUCGAACGGUAACAGGUCUUCGGAUGCUGACGAGUGGCGAACGGGUGAGUAAUACAUCGGAACGUGCCUAGUAGUGGGGGAUAACUACUCGAAAGAGUGGCUAAUACCGCAUGAGAUCUACGGAUGAAAGCAGGGGAUCGCAAGACCUUGUGCUACUAGAGCGGCCGAUGGCAGAUUAGGUAGUUGGUGGGAUAAAAGCUUACCAAGCCGACGAUCUGUAGCUGGUCUGAGAGGACGAUCAGCCACACUGGGACAGAGACACGGACCAGACUCCUACGGGAGGCAGCAGUGGGGAAUUUUGGACAAUGGUCGCAAGCAUGAUCCAGCAAUGCCGCGUGCAGGAUGAAGGCCUUCGGGUUGUAAACUGCUUUUGUACGGAACGAAAAGCCCUGGGUUAAUACCCUGGGGUCAUGACGGUACCGUAAGAAUAAGCACCGGCUAACUACGUGCCAGCCGCCGCCGUAAGAC
rnacentral:rRNA from 1 species